rnacentral:rRNA from 1 species
GCCGCAUGGCUUUGAUAUCAAAGGAGCAAUCCGCAAAAAGAUGGGCUCGCGUCCGAUUAGCUAGUUGGUGGGGUAAAGGCCUACCCAAGGCGACGAUCGGUAGCCGGACUGAGAGGUUGAACGGCCACAUUGGGACUGAGACACGGCCCAGACUCCUACGGGAGGCAGCAGUGGGGGAUAUUGCACAAUGGGGGAAACCCUGGUGCAGCAACGCCGCGUGAGGGAAGAAGGUUUUCGGAUUGUAAACCUCUGUCCUAGGUGAAGAAAGAAAUGACGGUAGCCUGGGAGGAAGCUCCGGCUAACUACGUGCCAGCAGCCGCGGUAAUACGUAGGGAGCGAGCGUUGUCCGGAAUUACUGGGUGUAAAGGGUGCGUAGGCGGCCUUGUGGGUCAGGCGUGAAAUACAUGGGCUUAACUCAUGGACUGCGCUUGAAACUAUAAGGCUUGAGUGAAGUAGAGGUAGGCGGAAUUCCCGGUGUAGCGGUGAAAUGCGUAGAGAUCGGGAGGAACACCAGUGGCGAAGGCGGCCUGCUGGGCUUUAACUGACGCUGAGGCACGAAAGCAUGGGUAGCAAACAGGAUUAGAUACCCUGGUAGUCCAUGCCGUAAACGAUGAUUACUAGGUGUGGGUGGUCUGACC